rnacentral:rRNA from 1 species
AACGAACGCUGGCGGCAGGCUUAACACAUGCAAGUCGAGCGCCCCGCAAGGGGAGCGGCAGACGGGUGAGUAACGCGUGGGAAUCUACCCAUCUCUACGGAAUAACGCAUGGAAACGUGUGCUAAUACCGUAUACGUCCCUCGGGAGAAAGAUUUAUCGGAGAUGGAUGAGCCCGCGUUGGAUUAGCCAGUUGGUGGGGUAAAGGCCUACCAAGGCGACGAUCCAUAGCUGGUCUGAGAGGAUGAUCAGCCACACUGGGACUGAGACACGGCCCAGACUCCUACGGGAGGCAGCAGUGGGGAAUAUUGGACAAUGGGCGCAAGCCUGAUCCAGCCAUGCCGCGUGAGUGAUGAAGGGCCUAGGGUUGUAAAGCUCUUUCACCGGUGAAGAUAAUGACGGUAACCGGAGAAGAAGCCCCGGCUAACUUCGUGCCAGCCGCCGCCGUAAGAC